CCGUCUCCGUCCCGGAUCCUGGCGUCGACUAGGAGACUUGCUGAUCACUCUCUGUCAGGAGGGGUGAUCGGGACUCAAUCCUGACUGGGCCUGUCGGCGACGUGUCAGUGCGAGCGCCGGGGCCGAGAAAACGACAUCACUGACUGCACCCGGAGAAGACCUGGUUCGGCGCUCGAGGACGCGGGUUCGAUUCCCGCCAGCUCCACCC
rnacentral:tmRNA from 1 species